GAUGAACGCUGGCGGCGUGCCUAACACAUGCAAGUCGAGCGAACAGACGAGGAGCUUGUUCGUUGGUCGUUAGCGGAGGACGGGAGAGUCACAUGUGGAUAACCUACCUAUCUGACUGGGAUAAUCACGGGAAACCGGCGCUUAUACCGGAUAAUAUAUUGCACCGUAUGGUUCAAUAGUGAGAGUCGGUUUUUGUGUCUGUAAUAGCUGGAUCCGCGCUGCAUGAGCUAGUUGGUAAGGUAACGGCUUAUCAAGGCUACGAUGCGUAGCCGACCUGAGAGAGGGGUCGGCCACCCGGGAGCUGAGACAGGGUCCAGACGCCUACGGGAGGCAGCAGUAGCGAAUCGUCCGCAAUGGGCGAAAGCCUUACACAGCAACGCCGCGUGAGUGAUGAAGGUCUCCGGAGCGGAAAGCUCGGUUAUUAGUGAAGAACCAAUGUCGAAGUAGCUGUACACGUCGUGACGGUACCUGAUCAGAAAGCCCCGGCUAACUACGUG
rnacentral:rRNA from 1 species